CACGUAGGGUCCGAGCGUUGUCCGGAAUUACUGGGCGUAAAGCGUGCGCAGGCGGUUUUGUAAGCCAGAUGUGAAAUCCCCGGGCUCAACCUGGGAAUGGCAUUUGGGACUGCAAGGCUUGAGUGCGGCAGAGGAGACUGGAAUUCCUGGUGUAGCGGUGAAAUGCGCAGAUAUCAGGAGGAGCACCGGUGGCGAAGGCGGGUCUCUGGGCCGAUACUGACGCUGAGGAGCGAAAGCGUGGGGAGCGAACAGG
rnacentral:rRNA from 1 species